rnacentral:rRNA from 1 species
UAAGACGAACCGUGCGAACGUUGUUCGGAAUCACUGGGCUUAAAGGGCGCGUAGGCGGGCUCGCAAGUCCGGGGUGAAAGCCCCCAGCUCAACUGGGGAAGCGCCUUGGAUACUGCGGGCCUCGAGGGAGGUAGGGGCGCGCGGAACUUCCGGUGGAGCGGUGAAAUGCGUAGAUAUCGGAAGGAACACCGGUGGCGAAAGCGGCGCGCUGGACCUCUUCUGACGCUGAGGCGCGAAAGCCAGGGGAGCAAACGGGAUUAGAUACCCCGGUAGUCCUGGCCCUAAACGUUGGGUACUAGGUUGUGGACUUACAUGGGUUCACAGCCGAAGCAAAAGUGUUAAGUACCCCGCCUGGGGAGUAUGGUCGCAAGGCUG